GCCGGUGUGGCGGAACUGGCAGACGCGGGGGAUUCAAAAUCCCCUGCCCCUCUGCGGGCGUGCGGGUUCGACUCCCGCCACCGGCACCA
rnacentral:tRNA from 1 species